rnacentral:rRNA from 1 species
UGGGGAAUAUUGCACAAUGGGGGAAACCCUGAUGCAGCGACGCCGCGUGAACGAAGAAGGUAUUCGUAUCGUAAAGUUCUGUCCUAUGGGAAGAUAAUGACAGUACCAUAGAAGAAAGCUCCGGCUAAAUACGUUCCAGCAGCCGCGGUAAUACGUAUGGAGCGAGCGUUGUCCGGAAUUAUUGGGCGUAAAGGGUACGCAGGCGGUUUAAUAAGUCGAAUGUUAAAGAUCGGGGCUCAACCCCGUCAAGCAUUGGAAACUGAUAAACUUGAGUACUGGCGAGGCAAGUGGAAUUCCUAGUGUAGUGGUGAAAUACGUAGAUAUUAGGAGGAAUACCAGUAGCGAAGGCGACUUUCUGGACACAAACUGACGCUGAGGUACGAAAGCGUGGGGAGCAAACAGG